GAGAAGUCCGUUCAUACGGUGGGCCCUUCCCUGUGGGCCUUCCAUAGCAUACCCACGCCAGAGUAAAUUGCAGCCUCGAACCAUCGCCCAGCCUCCUUUUCUGUGGGCUGUGAGCACUAAAGGGGAUUGUACAGUG